UUGGAGGAAGAAGAGAAAGUAUGUCUGGCUCCCUCCUCCCUCUCUUUCUUUGUUUAUGGUUAUGCAAUUGUGUUAAUAUAACAAUUUUAGCUGAGUGUUUACAGUUCAAUUUUUUUGGUGUCUUAAUGUGACUAGUGUUAAACGACUGGAAAAAGAGAUGGAUCUCAUCUUUUAUCAUUGUUCAUGGUUUGAAACUCGCACAAAUUUGCUCUGGGUUAUAGUUGACUGAACUUUUCUUGCUACUAAUUAGCAUUUGAAGCUGUCUCAAUCUUUCAAUUUGUUUUUCCAUUUAUAUUAUAAACGGCAUAUGUUUUUGUUGCCUUCUUCUAUGCACCGUCUCUGCCACACUAAAAGUUGUGAUUUUGCUAUACUACUAUAAGUUAUCUUUGGCCCAUUAACUAACAUUAAAAUAUGGUUAAAGAAUGUAACUGGAAUGAAAGGGAACAUGGAGCGUGUUCUGUAUUAUUUGUGCAACAUUCUGAGAUGUGAUUGCCUGAUUGGAAAUAUUUGGAAGUGAUUAAACCUUUUUUUUGGCUGGUGUAACAAGGUAUGAGCUUGGUCGUCAGCCUGCAAAUACUAAACUAUCAAGCAACAAAACAGUCAGGAGAGUUCGAGUUAGAGGAGGCAAUGUUAAGUGGAGAGCCCUGAGAUUGGACACGGGAAAUUAUUCUUGGGGUAGUGAGGCUGUCACCCGCAAGACUCGAAUUCUUGAUGUGGUUUAUAAUGCCUCAAACAAUGAGCUUGUUAGGACGCAAACUCUGGUGAAGAGUGCAAUUGUUCAAGUGGAUGCUGCUCCAUUUAAGCAAUGGUAUCUUCAGCACUAUGGUGUUGACAUUGGCAGGAAGAAGAAGACUGUUGUUAAGAAGGAAACUAGUGAGGUGAUUUCAGUUUGAGAAUAACUUUAACCUUCAUUGCUUAUUAACUUCAUUUGGAUUCUAUUGUCAUUGUUGUUCUUGAUUUGAUAUUGUUUUGAAAAAUAUCUAUGUGGGGUUUGGUUUGGACAAUGCUGUUAUUAGUUGGUUAGAUAAGCUUUGAGAAGAAAUUCAUUAUGUGCAAUUUUGAUAAUUGCAGGCACUCACUUGUGAAAAAAAUUGAACCUAUUGUAGGAUUUAAAUGCAAUUGUUAGCCCAUUUGACAGUCCAAAUUUUUUUUUAUAGAUACUUGAGAAAACUGGUAUCCAUAAUCCAAUCUGGUAUGCUCUACUACAUUAUCACGUUGUCACAUUUGAUCUGAGUGGAAUGAGAUGGAAUUUAAUAUCAAGGGUUGUGCUUUCCCCUUGCUAUUCUAUUUGGCUUUCCUAGCAUCUCAUUUGAGAUGGAUGGAUGGAUGUUUGAUUUGGAUGUUAUACAUCUAUGCAAUGACUUGUUAAUGCUAUAGUAUCACUGUGGAUAGGAGUAGUACCAUCAUAACUAUGAAUAUGAUUCCAGUUUAUGUAAUUUCACAUGUUGUGGUUGAUUCUGUGGUGCCCUACGUCGAAUCAAUGAACCAUAAGCGCAUGUAUUUUCAACCGGGAAAAUUCUACAACUGUUCACUAGGUUCUCCCUCGUCCAGCUCUCGUAUGACUUUAAAAUAAAUUGCAUUUUUGUUUGUGGGUAAUGACAGGAAGGAGAAGGUGCUGCUGCAGAGGAAACUAAGAAAAGCAACCAUGUCGAAAGGAAGCUUGAGAAACGCCAGAAAGAUCGGAAGCUUGAUCCCCAUAUAGAAGAUCAGUUUGGUGGUGGUAGAUUGUUGGCUUGCAUCUCAUCCCGUCCUGGUCAAUGUGGCAGAGCUGACGGGUACAUAUUGGAAGGUAAGGAGCUGGAGUUCUAUAUGAAGAAGAUCCAGAGGAAGAAGGGCAAGGGUGCUGGCGCGGCAUAAAUAUAAAGUUUGUGAAGUUUUGCCGUCCACUGUUUGGGUUAUUUUAGUUUUGGUUCCAUGAGUUUUAGAAUGUGAUUUGAUACCAAGUCGUAGCCUGCCCAAAUGAUGCACAUUCUGGUUGAGGGUCGUUAGUGUCAUCUUGUCACUUUUUCUUUUACUUCCUAUAAUUUCUUUGUUUUGCUUUAAAUUUUGUCGCAUUGGCUUUUUACUUACGUGUGCUUUAUUAGGAAUGUGGCUCCUUUGGUUUCGAGGAUUAAAGGUUAUUCUAAUUAUAUUCCAUGAUUAGUGAUUAAAAUGUAAUGAGACGAUUUAUGAUUUUACAAGUAAGAAUUAAAUAAGAAAUGUAUUUAAG
rnacentral:misc_RNA from 1 species